ensembl:lncRNA
CGAUAGAGUCUGCAGCAGGUCUGUGGGGGGAAACAGCCUUACAAGGACAGAGCAGUCUAGGCUGUCCCAUAUGGAGUUUCAGAAGGGCUCAGUGCAGCGGUGUGUUAGCAGAACAUACACUGAGGCAUGGGAAGGUUCCAAAGCCAAGGAUGUGAAGACACCCCUCGAGCCACCCAUCAGUCUGUCCCACCACAGAGGCAAGGAGCCCAGCACUGGUUGCGUGAGGAGGCUGCCUAUUUGGGAUGCCAAAGAGGCACAGUGGCUGGCAACUCCCAGCACCGAAACUUGGAGGAGCAUGUUCGAGAGCCCUGAUCAGACAAAAUGGCCUUUAUCAUCCCUAAGGUACACCUUGCCUCAGCUGAACACCAUCACCUACCUCAGAGGACCGGCAUUCAACAUGUUUUGCCAGAAAUAGGAUGCCCAUGGCGUGGAGAACAGUGUGAUGCUUGCACACAGCUAUCUGCAACCUCGUAAUUCUCACCAUCCACAAAACAGACUACAGACUUUAAAAGUUGAUUUUUUAUGCUGAUAUCAAAAAACAGAUGAUACUUUAUUAAGAUGUAGUUUGGAGGCACGUACAGUGAGACAAAGGUGCUAGCCAAAGGGCUAGUAUAUCCGAACAUGGGCAUUUUAUUGCUUAUCAUUCCUCCUAACCAUUCUCUCCCCCCUCCCUGAGCCUCCGCCCAUGAAAUUGAAAGAUUUCUAGUAGAAAUGCCUUUGUUGUAUCAGCUUUGGAAAUAUGGAUUACAGUAUUCUGUGAAAAACAUUUAUUACUCUGAACUGUGACUCGGACAUUGUUGCAUUUCUAGGGUUAUAGAUUUUCUUUCAGCUAAACUAAGGCUGUAAGUCACAGUGACAGUUGUAAUGUGUGUAAUACCACAGUACCAGAUUCUAUUACAUACAUAUUUUUGCUAGAGGUUUAUGAUGUUAAAAAUAUUUCUUCUUUUCCCAAUAUCUUUCUGUACCUGUUGUGUAAAUAUAUUGGAACCUAUAACACUGAAUUUUCAGAUGAAAGUGCAUGGGAACAAGUAGUUUGUCCUUUUCAAAUAAAAUAUAUAAAAAAAAAAGGAGGGGGGAAGGGAACACUGCAUACAAACUAAUUAUAUUCAAGCACAAUAUUGAAUUGUAAUAAAAGAUGAAUGAGAG